rnacentral:rRNA from 1 species
GACGAACGCUGGCGGCGUGCUUAACACAUGCAAGUCGUACGGUAAGGCCCUUUCGGGGGUACACGAGUGGCGAACGGGUGAGUAACACGUGAGUAACCUGCCCACAACUUUGGGAUAACGCUAGGAAACUGGUGCUAAUACUGGAUAUGUGCUCCUGCUGCAUGGUGGGGGUUGGAAAGCUCCGGCGGUUGUGGAUGGACUCGCGGCCUAUCAGCUUGUUGGUGGGGUAGUGGCCUACCAAGGCGGCGGCGGGUAGCCGGCCUGAGAGGGUGACCGGCCACAUUGGGACUGAGAUACGGCCCAGACUCCUACGGGAGGCAGCAGGGGGGAAUAUUGCACAAUGGGCGCAAGCCUGAUGCAGCAACGCCGCGUGCGGGAUGACGGCCUUCGGGUUGGAAACCGCUUUCAGCAGGGACGAAGCUUUUUGUGACGGUACCUGCAGAAGAAGCACCGGCUAACUACGUG